rnacentral:lncRNA from 1 species
CAUAGAAAAAUUAUGAACCUAGAAACGAAAAAUGAUCUACAAUUUGGAACCGAGGAGGAAAAUUCAAAAAUAAAGGAGGAAUUAAGUUGUCUUCCAAUAUAAGAUUGCAUAGAAGGCCCGAGAGCUUGAGGACACUCCGAUCCAUUGACGGCGGGGAGGUGGAUCCGAUGGCCGUUGGUGCCCGUGGCGCCGGACUUGGCAUUGGCAGCGCCAGACCUGGCAGCGGCAUCAGCAGCGCUAAACAUGCAUGAGCAGACAAUAUAAAGCAAUUAUUUCUCCACAAGCUUAUGGAAAAAACAAUCAAUAAAUUGGUGGUUCCUUCUAAAAAUAAUCAAGAAAUCACGCAAACAGCAUUGAGAAACAAAACAUACCAUUUCAAGCUAAAGGCCUCAGUUGCCGAUGCCAUCGGAGUGUAUCGGACUCCCUAGCCCGUGAGUCCGACAGUGCUACAGGAAAACAAAAUCCUCGCAGGGGGGCUUGACGAGGUAAUGGCAUG